AUGUAAAUUCCUAUAGCAUAGCAUUGACGCACCGGAUACCAUUAGAACUUCGUAGUUAAGCACGCUCAGGCUAGAGUAGUAUUUGGAUGGGUGGCUUCUCGGGAAGUCCUAUUAUUUUACAUG
rfam:Picea glauca, whole genome shotgun sequence.